GUCUACGGCCACACCACCCUGAACGCGCCCGAUCUCGUCUGAUCUCGGAAGCUAAGCAGGGUCGGGCCUGGUUAGUGCUUGGAUGGGAGAAAAGCUACCCAGGUAUGCUAAAAG
rnacentral:rRNA from 1 species